UAACAAGGAUUCCCCUAGUAACGGCGAGUGAAGCGGGAACAGCUCAAGCCCUUAAUCGGCUGUGGAUUUGACCGCAGACGAGUUGUAGCUUGAAGGUUGGCACUUUGAGGUGGCACCGACAUAAGCCUUUUGAAUAGGGCGCCGGAGAGGGUGCAAGCCCCGUCUUUUGUCGGAUGCUGUCCCGUUGUAUGUGCCUUCCAGCGAGUCGGGUUGUUUGGGAAUGCAGCCCUAACUGGGUGGUAAAUUUCAUCCAAGGCUAAAUAUUUGCCAGAGACCGAUAGCGAACAAGUACCGUGAGGGAAAGAUGAAAAGCACUCUGGAGAGAGAGUGAAAUAGUACGUGAAAUCGCUGUAAGGGAACCGCUUGCUUGUCCAAGGCCACGACUUUUUAGCUGUGGCGGNUAACACCAGUNUGGUCUCUCGGACAGCCAGUGACGGAAGGUAGGCAUUGUUUCGGCGGUGCUGUUAUAGACGUCACGAGGGUGUAGUACGUGGGGACUGGACUGAGGCGCGGCGGUGCGUUCCCCUCGUGGGCGGCCGGCCACCCCUGCUCGCUAUGCACACGUCUCAGACAGCAUGCUGACUGAGGGUGCAAAACGCGUCGUGACUCGGGGGUGUUUCUUUGUCUAAGANGCACCANGGGUGUUGGCUUAAGGGGAGUAANCCNCCUUANCACC
rnacentral:rRNA from 1 species